AUCCCCAUCGUAAUUCUUCUAUUAUAUUCUCAAGUUAAGGUCAAGCGAAUACCUUGCAGUUUUUAAACAAUAUUUGCCCAUUUUCUCCCACCAUUAUUUGUUCGCACCCCUUCUUCUUUUUCCUAUUCUUCUUCUUCUAUUCUCUCGCCCCUUACACUCUUUCCACUCUUUCUUUCUUUUUCAUUUCGUUGACCAUUCAUUUCACUCUAGUAGCAGUUGCCUGUAAAGUUAGUGUGUCAGGCGUUCACUGUGUCAUUUCAUUAAAGAGAGAAAAAAAUUGGAGGAAAAAAUUGCAGAAGAGAAAAAUAUACAAAAUUUUCUUUUAAAGUGCAACGAAACAAAAGACAAGGCAGGAGUCGACAUCUAUGCACGAACUGUACAAGUCAUUUGAGGAAAUUCCAUAUCGAUAAUAUCACUCAAGAAGUUUCCGACAUUAUCGAGACAAUUUGCUGAUAGUUGAUUAGGAGAGUUAGAUAAUAAUUUAGUUUAUAAAAAUGACGAAUAAUUUUCAAUUUCUAAAUUUUCUGGUGAAUCGAUGGAAAAUAUUUGCCAAUGAAAUAACAUUAAUUGUAAUAGAUAAUUUACAAUAAUUUACAGUUUUUCGGUAAAACGAUGGAAAAUGUUGCAAAAGAUUGUAUAAAUGAGGAGAAAAUGAAAAAAAUUAAUUGUAAUAGCUACUUUUUGUAGAAAUAAUUUUACAAUAAUUUACCGUUUUUCGGUAAAACGAUGGAAAAUGUUAAAAAGGAUUGUAUCAAUGCGGAGAAAAUGAAAAGAAAAUUAUUAUUCUCUGUAUUUAGGAAUGUAACUAGGUAUAAGUUGCGAAAAUUUGUUUGUAAAAUGUAUAUGAAAUAUAGUUUUUAAAAAUAAAAAUAAAUAAUUAAUCACUAA